GGUAAAUGCCAUCAAAUGGUUGCACAGUGCUAAACCUAAGUCUAGUUGGAAGCAGUGAACACUAGUUUAAAGAAAACCAGUGCUAAAGUUGGGUUUAGUUAAAAGGAGUGAAUGCUAGUUUAAAGAAAACCAGUGCUAAAUUUGGGUUUAAUUAGAAGGAGUGAAUGCUAGUUUAAAGAAAACCAGUGCUAAAGUUGGGUUUAGUUAAAAGGAGUAAAUGCUAGUUUAAAGAAAACCAGUGCUAAAAUUGGGUUUAGUUAAAAGGAGUAAAUGCUAAUUUAAAGAAAACCAGUGCUGAGGUUGGGUCUAGUUAGAAGGAGUAAAUGCUAGUUUAAAGAAAAACAGUGUUAAAGUUGGGUUUAGUUAGAAGGAGUAAAUGCUAGUUUAAAGAAAACCCGUUCUAAAGUUGGGUUUAGUUAAAAGGAGUAAAUGUUAGUUUAAGAAACCCAGUGCUGAAGUUGGGUCUAGUUAGAAGGGGUAAAUGCUAGUUUAAAGAAAACCAGUGCUAAAGUUGGAAUAAGUUAAAAGGAGUAAAUGCUAGUUUAAAGAAAACCAGUGCUAAAGUUGGGUUUAGUUAGGAGUAAAUGCUAGUUUAAAGAAAACCAGUGCUAAAGUUGGGUUUAGUUAAAAGGAGUAAAUGCUAGUUUAAAGAAAACCAGUGCUAAAAUUGGGUUUUGUUAAAAGGAGUAAAUGCUAAUUUAAAGAAAACCAGUGCUGAGGUUGGGUUUAGUUAGGAGUAAAUGCUAGUUUAAAGAAAACCAGUGCUAAAGUUGGGUUUAGUUAAAAGGAGUAAAUGCUAGUUUAAAGAAAACCAGUGUUAAAGCUGGGUUUAGUUAGAAGGAGUAAAUGCUAGUUUAAAGAAAACCAGUGCUAAAGUUGGGUUUAGUUAAAAGGAGUAAAUGCUAGUUUAAAGAAAACCAGUGCUAAAGUUGGGUUUAGUUAGGAGUAAAUGCUAGUUUAAAGAAAACCAGUGCUAAAGUUGGGUUUAGUUAGGAGUAAAUGCUAGUUUAAAGAAAACCAGUGCUAAAGUUGGGUUUAGUUAAAAGGAGUAAAUGCUAGUUUAAAGAAAACCAGUGCUAAAGUUGGGUUUAGGUAAAAGGAGUAAAUGCUAGUUUAAAGAAAACCAGUGCUAAAGUUGGGUUUAGUUAAAAGGAGUAAAUGCUAGUUUAAAGAAAACCAGUGCUAAAGUUGGGUUUAGUUAAAAGGAGUGAAUGCUAGUUUAAAGAAAACCAGUUCUAAAUUUGGGUUUAAUUAGAAGGAGUAAAUGCUAGUUUAAAGAAAACCAGUGCUAAAGUUGGGUUUAGUUAAAAGGAGUAAAUGCUAGUUUAAAGAAAACCAGUGCCAAAGUUGGGUUUAGUUAAAAGGAGUAAAUGCUAGUUUAAAGAAAACCAGUGCUAAAGUUGGGUUUAGUUAGAAGGAGUAAAUGCAAGUUUAAAGAAAACCAGUGCUAAAGUUGGGUUUAGUUAGGAGUAAAUGCUAGUUUAAAGAAAACCAGUGCUAAAGUUGGGUUUAGGUAAAAGGAGUAAAUGCUAGUUUAAAGAAAACCAGUGCUAAAGUUGGGUUUAGUUAGAAGGAGUAAAUGCUAGUUUAAAGAAAACCAGUGCUAAAGUUGGAUUAAGUUAAAAGGAGUAAAUGCUAGUUUAAAGAAAACCAUUGCUAAAGUUGAGUUUAGUUAGGAGUAAAUGCUAGUUUAAAGAAAACCAGUGCUAAAGUUGGGUUUAGUUAGAAGGAGUAAAUGCUAGUUUAAAGAAAACCAGUGCUAAAGUUGGGUUUAGUUAAGAGGAGUAAAUGCUAGUUUAAAGAAAACCAGUGCUAAAGUUGGGUUUAGUUAGGAGUAAAUGCUAGUUUAAAGAAAACCAGUGCUAAAGUUGGGUUUAGUUAAAAGGAGUAAAUGCUAGUUUAAAGAAAACCAGUGUUAAAGUUGGGUUUAGUUAGAAGGAGUAAAUGCAAGUUUAAAGAAAACCAGUGCUAAAGUUGGGUUUAGUUAAAAGGAGUAAAUGCUAAUUUAAAGAAAACCAGUGCUGAGGUUGGGUCUAGUUAGAAGGGGUAAAUGCUAGUUUAAAGAAAACCAGUGUUAAAGUUGGGUUUAGUUAGAAGGAGUAAAUGCUAGUUUAAAGAAAACCAGUGCUAAAGUUGGGUUUAGUUAAGAGGAGUAAAUGCUAGUUUAAAGAAAACCAGUGCUAAAGUUGGGUUUAGUUAGGAGUAAAUGCUAGUUUAAAGAAAACCAGUGCUAAAGUUGGGUUUUGUUAGAAGGAGUAAAUGCUAGUUUAAAGAAAACCAGUGCUAAAGUUGGGUUCAGUUAGGAGUAAAUGCUAGUUUAAAGAAAACCAGUGCUAAAGUUGGGUUUAGGUAAAAGGAGUAAAUGCUAGUUUAAAGAAAACCAGUGCUAAAGUUGGAUUAAGUUAAAAGGGGUAAAUGCUAAUUUAAAGAAAACCAGUGCUGAGGUUGGGUCUAGUUAGAAGGAGUAAAUGCUAGUUUAAAGAAAACCAGUGCUAAAGUUGGGUCUAGUUGGAAGCCAUGAACGCUAGUUUAAACAAAGUUUCAAUAGUUGAAAAAAGUAGAUCCUGAAAGUGAAAGUAUAGUAUAAUACAGUAUUAUGUUAAAGCAUAUUUUAUUAAAUGUGUGUUCCAACAUAUUGUGCCUGAUGACUAUUGUUGAGGUAUUAAAGUAAGCAAUGCAUAUCAGCUUACAAAUGUCUUAAGAGCUACACGAACAGAGAUUAUUGUAGCUAAUUAUGUAGUGCAUUGCAAGUGAUACCUGCCUAAUAACAUUCAACCUCACUAAUAAACAACUUUUAAAGCUAAGAGAAUGUACUGUACUCUUUACAGAACUCUUUACUUAAAGACAUUCUCCAUCUCUGUGAAGAUAGAGACACAGCUUCCACAAAACACCAUAGUUAUCAAACUUAUAGAAGUAAGAAUACUGAUCUAGGAUCAGUUAAAUCAUUUUAUUGCAUUCUAUUAGACACCUGAUGAGACAUGAUCUAAGAUCACCACCUUUACUCUGAGAUGCUUGAUAAAUGAGGCUUCAGCUGUUUUGACCCACUUUUAUAUCCACAGUUCAUCAUCAGGUAGACUUUUCUGGUCUGCGUUGUCGCUGGUAAUUUCAGAAAUGCUUUUUUUUGGUUCAAACAAAAAUGGCUAAGUAGUAGUCAUGUUUAGCUAGCCAGCUGGGAUUUAUCACUAAAUCUAAUAAACAAAAUCAUGAAUAAGUGCUGUUUCUUCUACUGCUCCGAGCGAAAGCACCUUUAAACUGUACAGAUAGAUAGUGCUACUCUUAAACAUGGGACAUCUCUCUUUAUUUCCAUAAAUAUACUGUCUAUUAAUUACUUUCUGGCUCCUGCACCAGACAGCUCUAACUAAUCAGAGGAAUCAUGCUCGCAUGGUUUGUUGGGGCUCAUUUUUGGUGCGUUAAGUAAACGAACUCAACAGGUUCAGACCAGAGAAAUGAACUACAGGUGUAAAAAGUGCCCUGAGACGCUUCAUGUCAGUUCUUAGAGAUGUCC